GAACGUACAGUAAGGGAGGAGGGGUGUGCUGUACUUUAUACCCUACAGAAUCCACUUCCCCACUUGUUCACUUUUCCCUCUCACACCAUAAAGAUAGUCAACGGGGAAACAGAAGUGACACUUUAUACGGCUCCCAGGCAGUGGUGGUAAAAGCCCUGUGUGCUUCAUUGUAUGUAAGAUCUUAAUGCCAAGAUAACGUACCCAUGUGUCUGUUUCACUUUAGUACUGGGUCUACGUGUGCCGAGACAAGGCAACAGGAGGGACAAUACCGUCCACCUGCUCCUUCUGUACCCAAACGGACGAUUUAAUACCGUCAGCCCCAGCCAGCUCUCUCACCCAGAGCUCUCCUUCACUGGGAUAUCGUGGGGGAUCAAACACACAAGGAGAUAUGACUAAAGAGGCCCUUCGGGGCGACUGUACUGCCGGGUAGAAGUAACACUCUGAAAAAGGAGAUGUGAGCGGCGCGAUGCGAGACUUCCUGUUCUCGGCUGGGCCGUGGCGCGAUCGAGCCGAAGCUUCCUGUGAAGUGAAAAGGUGAGGCCUGCGUGCAGCAGCAGCGCCUCCGCAUCAUGACGUAGCGCUCUGCAUGAAACCAGAGUUUGAGGAACAAGCUGCUCAGGAAGCGCUGUCCACUGUGAUAAAGGCCCACGCUGACACAAAACGUUUUUUUCGACUCGCUUGGUGGAACCGGGAGAACCUCGGUGUCGGGACCUUUAGGAUCCCACCUUCGCCGUCCCGGACAUGGCUGGGCUCGACGGACUCAGGGUACUGCUGCUGCUGGCUGGGCUGGUCGCCAUGGCAAACUGUGAGUAGAGUUUGGAGAGCAGAGUUUGAUCUGUCACGGAUCGUUUGCUCUUCCUCUGUUGAGUUCUGGGUGACGGGCGGAAGAACUAGUUAAGUAUCCAGAUCAGGUAUUGAGUGGCGUUGAACGCGAUAAGAUUUGUUAUUCAGUUAUUCAUUCAGUUAUACAGCUCUGUGUAUAGUUGCGACAGCACUAUUGUUGUUUUCAUCUCUUAUGUAGAGAAAUAAAAUCAGCGAGAAAUAAACAUAAAGUGUGAAAUUGAAAAUUAUAGGAACUAAAAGAAGAUUAAUAUUUUGGUGCGCGACCCAAGCGGUCUUUGGGUAUGUUUCUGCAGGAGUAGCUCGGUAAAGAUACGGUUCAUUUCAAUAGUUUCCCUUUCUGGUCGUGUUUCCGCCAGUAACCCACCAGAUACUUUGUACUGUAGCAUACGCAGUUACGUUAGAUGAAAACCUGCUAAAAGAAUUAGGAAUUCAUCGAAGUAUUUUGCCUAUUUGUUUACGUUUUUGAUUUAGUAGAAGUAAAUCCCAGCAUGUGUUCAUGUUUGAGACUUAUUUUGGGUGUGUCACAUAGAAGCUGUUUCUUCUGACUAAAGGAAGGCUGAUAGUUCAACCUCGCACACACACACACGCACACGCACACACGCACACACACACACACACACACACACACACACACACACACACACACACACACAGUCUCACAGGUUGACAUUCUUUUUCAUGUGUGUGUGUGAGUGCAUGUGUGAUGUGAGAGCGUGCGUGUGGGCGUGCGCACAUAAGUGAGUGAGCGCGAACGCACAAGAAGGUACAGCGAGGUGGCUGUGUUUAUUUGUGUGCUUCCUGGGCGCUCAUGAAUGAGCGCUUGUGUGUGUGCGAGGGUGGAACCACCCCGAGCUCUCUAUGAUGCCACCGGCAUGACUGGAAGGUCUGUCACACCUAAUGCCACCUGUCAGUCAGUCUCUGUCUAUUCCGAGCUCUCCCCCUGUCUGUUCCCGGGCUGGAGAGAGAUCCUCCUGCAGGAUUCAUCCUCUUCAUCUAUUCAUAUUCUGCCCAUCCGCUCCAAUAACAAUCAAGGUUCAUUUUAGUCAUCUACAGCAAAGGUGCCAGAAUCAUUAUCAGUCAUCUCGUUUCUCUUUCUCUUUCUCUCUCUCUCUCUCUCUCUUCUCUCUCUCUCUCUCUCUCUCUCUCUCUCUCUCUCUCUCUCUCUCUCUCUCUCUCUCUCUCUCUCUCUCUCUCUCUCACCCUUCCAUUUCUUCUCUCGCUUGUCUCUUUCUCCCUUUCCUUCUCUCUCUUUCUCUCUCUCUUUCUUUCUCCCUCUUUUCUUCUCUCUCACACUCUCUCGCUCUGUCUUUCGCUUUCUCUCCCUCUCUUUUCUUUUCCAUCUUUCUCUCUCACCCUUUCUCUCUCUCACUCCAUCUCUCCCUCUAUUUUUCUCUCUCUCUCUCUUUCUCGCUCUCUAUUUUCUUCUCUCCCUCCUCUCUUUCUCUCUCUCACUCUGAUCUGUUUUAGCUAAUAAUUGCUGCGUUAGUCAAAACACCCAUUCCCCAUUCCACCGAGCCCACCAUGGUGCCUCUGCUGACCCCAUCAGCCUUACCUAGAGCACCUUACCUCUGCGCGGCAGUGUUCAUCCCAAACAUGUUGACAAUCUACAUGGGACGGGCACAGUGACGUGUCAGCAUGGCGUGGAACACAUACACCAGGUCGCUUACCGGAGCUGCAAGCACCCUAACCCCACACAGAGCAGGGGGGCAGACGCAGAGGAGGCUGCCCGACCACUUCCGUGUUCCAUUUUGAGCCGAGUGUGUUUCCUGGUGUGUGGCAGAGCGGAGCACGCCCCGGCUGUGAGAUGGAGCCAGAUGGAACUAGUGCAGUGUCAGUGUCAGAUGGAACCAGGUGGAACCACUACAGUAUCAGUGUCAGAUGGAACCAGAUGGAACCACUACAGUAUCAGUGUCAGGUGGAACCAGGUGGAACCACUACAGUAUCAGUGUCAGGUGGAACCAGGUGGAACCACUACAGUAUCAGUGUCAGGUGGAACCACUACAGUAUCAGUGUCAGGUGGAACCACUACAGUAUCAGUGUCAGGUGGAACCACUACAGUAUCAGUGUCAGGUGGAACCACUACAGUAUCAGUGUCAGGUGGAACCACUACAGUAUCAGUGUCAGAUGGAACCAGUGCAGUGUCAAGACGGUACAAGGCGACAGUGAAAUGCUUCGAAGAUUACCCAGAAAGGAAAAGGGGAAGUUGGUGGGCCAAAAAUACAACGUUGUAAUCGGGGGAGAUUACAGAGAGAGAGAGAAUGUGUGAGCUAAACAGUUUAUAUUGCUGCAAAGGGAAGUUGGAACUGAUCAAAUGAUUUGUCUGAAAUGAGAGGGCGUUGACGAAAGCAUGUAAAAGAGACAUUGCAGACCAAGUGAAGAAUAAUAUCUUAGAAAAUGUAAUUUGGGGUUUGAAAUCCUCUUCAUCCCAACUAAUCUCUGACCUACACAUGGGCAGAAUAUGACUAACAUUAUCUAUGUAUUAUACAACAUACAUACAUAUAACUAUGAUUCACUGGCACAUUAACAACAGUGUAAUAAGCCCAGUAAGGAUAAAUAAGGACAUUACAUAUACAUAUGAAGUGCUGAAAAUCUAUUGGUAUUCCUUCUAUGAUGUUAAACAUAGCUGGUAUAUGCUAUUCUGUCACUGGUUCUUAAAUAUUGGUCUGAUGCCGAAAACACGAAUGGAACAAACAAAGAAGUCUUGAGCAAUUAAUAUGGAGAACCAAAAUGAAUAUUUUCUCAUGGGUCAAGGCAGCGUUUUGGGCUGAGCAUUGAAAGAAGGAGAAGGGAGGGGGACUAAGUGGCCAUCCCCAUGGUCACGGCCAACAUUGUGAUACUUUCACUAUGAGUGUCAAAGAAGCCUUCCCUUCUGGGUGAGUCGUCCUUAACCCCUCCCCCCCAUAGACAGACAGAGCUCCACUCUCCCACACAGGCACCGUGGCGCUAUGAUGUCGCAGAAGCACUCUCUCCCUCUAAUAAAGAUAAAGCUCAGAUCAGAGUAGGACUGGUCGACAGAGAGUCAAAAACAUAGGAUGCUUCAAUGUCACGUUCAAUGUUAAAAUGUGCUCAGUAGGACUGCAUAGCAUUCAUUUUUAUCCGUGCUAAGCUUCCGCUGUAAAAGCCAGAGUGUGUGCGUGAGCGUGAGUGCGCAUGUGCAUGUGUGAUUGUGCUAUGAGACGGGGGGAAGGGGGGUCUUGGCGGCAAAUUCAUCUUUGACAUUAGUCAGAUUCAAAGCCUUCUCCCAACAAGCCCUUAGGGCCCGAGACAAAGUGAAUGCCAUUGCAAAAGAGCAUGCAUCUCCUUUUAUGCAGCCUGCCUAGCCUAACCACAUCCUGAGUCUCAUUGUCCUCCCCAGCUACUGUGGUAUCUCGUCUGUCACGCACCGUCUCCUUGUCUAAGACACAAGGGGAAAACGUUCUCUUCACGUUCGCACUGUGAUGAAUAAAGAACCAAAAUGUUUCUAUGUUUUUGGCAAAUUGCCUUUAUGUAUCAGGGGGAUUGGUAUAAAUGAUGCAGAAUGAUUUAUAACACUUUAGGGUUACUAUGAUACGGAAACCACAAUAAUACUGUUUAAUGGCUACUAUAUAAAAAUAAAUAUGUUAAAAAAUUAAGAUUAAAAUAAUAUAGAAUAAAAAAAUGUAACGAUACCAUAGAAUCGGCCAACCUCAACAAAAUAAGGAAAUAAACAUUUUGCAAUUUUACUCAUUUUUUCAAGUCAGACAGGAAAUGGUGGUUAGCAUUCUGAAAGAACAAUUGUCCUUGGUAUUUGCACAUUUGCUAUAGCAACCAGGUUAUACCAAACACAGCCUAUACACAAGAUCCAGUGAGAAUCAUCUCUUCUUGCAACAGCCCCGGUUUCUCCACCUGCAGUAGCUCUCACCCAGCAGAGAGGGGUACGUUUCUCCACCUGCUUACCCCCAGCAGGGAGAGUUGAGUUCCUCCACCUGCUCUCACCAAGCAGAGAGGUGCUAGUUUCCCCACCUACAGCUAUCAGUCUGAGUUACAAGGUCUUGUCAAUCCCAUUAACACAGCAUCACCAAGGAGUCUGAGAUCUCUUUCCAAACCUGGCCAGAAGAACAGCGAACACGACUCACUUCUUUCCUGUGAUAGAAAACCAUCACGGCACAUUUAUGCGUGUGUUUUAUUGUGGUUAUAACAUCUAUUUCU
ensembl:lncRNA